rnacentral:rRNA from 1 species
ACCGCUAUUGGAGUUCGAUUAAGCCAUGCGAGUCGAGAGUCUUAGGGACUCGGCGUACCGCUCAGUAACACGUGGGUAACCUGCCCUAUGCUGGGGAAUAACCUCGGGAAACUGAGAAUAAUGCCCCAUAGUUCACUACGCCUGGAACGGUGAGUGGAUGAAAGCUCCGGCGGCAUAGGAUGGGCCUGCGGCGUAUCAGGUCGUAGGGGGUGUAGCGUACCCUCUAGCCAUCGACGCGUACGGGUGUUGGGAGACAUAGCCCGGAGAUGGAUUCUGAGACACGAAUCCAGACCCUACGGGGUGCAGCAGGCGCGAAAACUUGGCAAUGCGAGAAAUCGUGACCAGGGAACUCCAAGUGGCUGGGGUAAGACCCAGUCUUUUCUUGACUCUUCAAAGGUCUUGGAAUAAGAGGUGGGUAAGGACGGUGCCAGCCGCCGCGGUAAUACCGGCGCCUCAAGUGGUAGUCGAUUUUAUUGGGCCUAAAACGUCCGUAGCCUGUUUGGUACAUUCGUGGGUAAAUCAACCAGCUCAACUGGUUGAAUUCUGCGAGCACGGCCAGACUUGGGACCGGGAGAGGUGUGGGGUACGCUCAGGGUAGGGGUAAAAUCCUGUCAUCCUGAGCGGACCACCUGUUGCGAAGGCGCCACACUAGAACGGAUCCGACGGUCAGGGACGAAGCCUAGGGGCACGAACCGGAUUAGAUACCCGGGUAGUCCUAGGUGUAAACGCUGUGGACUUGGUGUUGGGGAUUCUCCGAGGAUUCUCAGUGUCGAAGCGAAGGUGAUAAGUCCACUGCCUGGGGAGUACGUC